rnacentral:ncRNA from 1 species
GCCAUUCACCAGGGGGGUCCCGGCAAGGGGCUGAGAUACUGCUAUAGCGCGCAGUGACCCGUUGAACCUGAUCCAGUUCAUACUGGCGUAGGGACGGUGCAGACGUGCGACA